AAGUCGUAACAAGGUUUCCGUAGGUGAACCUGCGGAAGGAUCAUUAACACGUAUCCAAACGUUAACCCCCCUGUGAACCUUUAGUGUGCUCGUACGCUUUGUCAGAGCGUGGCAAUCCCUAGUAAAUCAUCGCCGAACAGUUUUCGAUUUAGGGACUUCCACAAAGAGUGUGCUCGUAGCGCGAGGCAAGUGGCCUGGCAUUCCCAAGCAGUUGGUGUCUGAAAGUGUCACUGGCUGUGUAAGGAUGGCGCAGUCACGAUCGUUGGAGGUCGACACGGCCGACGACCGGGUCACCGGGCUCACGCCCCUUAAUCACAACUUAAUGCAUGUCAGACGCGCCUGCGCUUAAUUGUGCGGCGACCAUAAAACUCGAACAACUGUUAACAAUGGAUAUCUUGGUUCUC
rnacentral:misc_RNA from 1 species